rnacentral:rRNA from 1 species
AAGCAUAUUAGUAGUGAGAGAGGAACCAAAGGGAUACCCUUAGUAAUGGCGAGUGAGUGGGGAAAAGCACAAGAUUCCAAUUGAUCGUUGCAUCAACUUGUAACUCCAAGACGUUAGCCAUCGGUGGGCACAGAUGGAAGCUUCUUGGAAAAGAGCACCUGCGAGGGUUAGGGUCCUGCUCGCCAUCUGCUGCCCCUCGUGCACGGUUGUCGUUCACAGAGUCGCGCCCCUUGGGAUGGGAGCGCAACAUGGUGGUACUCUUCACCAAAGGCUAAACACAUGCCCAAGACCGAUAGUAAACAAGUACCAUGAGGGAAAGGUGAAAAGGACUUUGGGAAGAAAGGUAAAAGUGCAUGAGUUCGCUGGGUGUGAAGUGAAUUGAGGGAGUGUGAGUGGUUGGGAUUGCGCUCUUCACGAGUUUCAACUUCACGUCACUGUCAAGUGUCGCGUGCAAGUUUGGGCGCGUGAGUAGCGUGUUUCCUGCCAGAGUUGUUGGCCUCUGUUUGUGGCGUGGGACUAGACGGUGUCGUGCAGUGUCGUUGCGUAUGACUCCCAGGUCAGUUAGCCUGCUUGGCCGCAAACAGGGUAGAACGCAAGUAUUGCGUGACAUUCCGCAAGGAACUGUCUUGCAUUCUUGCAGAGCCUGACCAAAGAGCUUGAUUCGCCCCGUCUUGAAACACGGGCCAAGGAGUCUAACACAUGUGCAAGUUCCUGAUUCUACCAUUCGCCGGCGGAAGGAAAGUGAGUGCUUGGAUACCUGCACCAGCAACCAACUGACCGUUUGAGUGGUGUUGGUGGGAGAGCAUACGUGUUAGAACCCGAAAGGUGGUGAACUAUGCCUGAGAUUUGCAAAGUCAGGGGAAACUCUGAUGGAAGCUCGGAGCGAUGUUGACGUGCAAAUCAUUCGUCUGACUUGGGUAUAGGGGCGAAAGACUAAUCGAACCACCUAGUAGCUGGUUCCCUCCGAAGUUUCCCUCAGGAUAGCUGGAGCUAGGCAGUUUUAUCAUGUAAAGCCAAUGAUUAGAGGCAUUGGGGGCAGCUUUGCCCUUGACCUAUUCUCAAACUUUUAAUGGGUAAGCUCCAAGGGUUUCUUUACUGAACCCGUGGGAGGAAUGGCAGCUCCAAGUGGGCCAUUUUUGGUAAGCAGAACUGGCGAUGAGGGAUGAGCCUAACAUUGGGUUAUUGUGCUAGACUGCUCGCUCAUGGGAUGCCACAAAGGGUGUUGGUUCAUACAAACAGCAGGACGGUGGUCAUGGAAGUUGAAAUCCGCUAAGGAGUGUGUAACAACUCACCUGCCGAAUGGACUAUAGCCCCGAAAAUGGAUGGCGCUUAUACGAGUGAUUGAUUCCCUAAAUCAUUGCAUCAAGGUCGCUAAUUAGUAGUAGGGCAUAGUGGAU